CCUACGGGUGGCAGCAGUGAGGAAUAUUGGUCAAUGGACGAGAGUCUGAACCAGCCAAGUAGCGUGAAGGAUGACUGCCCUAUGGGUUGUAAACUUCUUUUAUAUGGGAAUAAAACGUUCCACGUGUGGGAUUUUGUAUGUACCAUAUGAAUAAGGAUCGGCUAACUCCGUGCCAGCAGCCGCGGUAAUACGGAGGAUCCGAGCGUUAUCCGGAUUUAUUGGGUUUAAGGGGAGCGUAGGUGGAUUGUUAAGUCAGUUGUGAAAGUUUGUGGCUCAACCGUAAAAUUGCAGUUGAAACUCGCAGUCUUGAGUACAGUAGAGGUGGGCGGAAUUCGUGGUGUAGCGGUGAAAUGCUUAGAUAUCACGAAGAACUCCGAUUGCGAAGGCAGUUCACUGGACUGCAACUGACACUGAGGCUCGAAAGUGUGGGUAUCAAACAGGAUUAGAUACCCCAGUAGUC
rnacentral:rRNA from 1 species